rnacentral:misc_RNA from 1 species
GACGCUCAAGGAAGCGGUGCAAAACUCCGGAUCGGUUCGCGCGCGCCUUGGUUACGCGCCGGGUGCCUGGCUUUUCUACGCAACGGGCGGUCUGGCGUGGACUUACAACCGGUCGACGCUCGCAUCGGUCGCGGCAACCGACGGCGAGAGGCACGAUCUCACCCGGCUCGGCCUCGCAUGGGGCGCGGGGGCCGAACUCGGAUUGUCGCCCAAUUGGUCGGCCAAGCUCGAAUACCUCGGCACAGGUUUCGGAUCGCAAGGCGUGACAUUUUCGGGAGCGGCGCAGCGGGUCUCGUCGGAUUGGACGGGCCAC